UGAAGAUGGUAACUUUGGAGUUGGCCCUUGUCUAUGUUCCUUGGAACAGGACGUCACAGAGGGUGAGAAUCCCGUCUGACGAGGUGAUCCAACUCUAUGUAAAGUGCUAUCGAAGAGUCGAGUUGUUUGGGAAUGCAGCUCUAAGUGGGUGGUAAAUUCCAUCUAAAGCUAAAUAUUGGCGAGAGACCGAUAGCGAACAAGUACAGUGAUGGAAAGAUGAAAAGAACUUUGAAAAGAGAGUGAAAAAGUACGUGAAAUUGUUGAAAGGGAAGGGUAUUAGAUCAGACUUGGCGUUUUAUGAUUAUCUUCCCUUCUUGGGUUGUGCACUCGUAUUGCGCUGGGCCAGCAUCGAUUCGGAUGGCAGGAUAAUGGCAAUUGAAUGUGGCAUCCACUUCGGUGUAUGUGUUAUAGCUUUUGUUGAUGCUGCCUAUCUGGAUCGAGGACUGCGUCUUUUGACUAGGAUGUUGGCGUAAUGAUCUAAUAUCGCCCGUCUU
rnacentral:rRNA from 1 species